rnacentral:rRNA from 1 species
CUACGGGGUGCUGCAGUGGGGAAUAUUGGACAAUGGGGGAAAUCCUGAUCCAGCAAUGCCGCGUGUGUGAAGAAGGCCUGCGGGUUGUAAAGCACUUUCGGUUGGGAGGACUGCUUCUAGCACUAAUAUUGUUGGAAGUUGACGUUACCUUCAGAAGAAGCACCGGCUAACUCCGUGCCAGCAGCCGCGGAAAUACGGAGGGUGCAAGCGUGAAUCGGAAUUACUGGGCGUAAGGCGCGCGUAGGCGGCUAGAUCAGUCGGGUGUGAAAGCCCCGGGCUUAACCUGGGAACUGCAUCCGAUACUGUCUAGCUUGAGUACAGGAGAGGAGAGUGGAAUUCCACAUGUAGCGGUGAAAUGCGUAGAUAUGUGGAGGAACACCAAUGGCGAAGGCAGCUCUCUGGCCUGAUACUGACGCUGAGGUGCGAAAGCGUGGGGAGCAAACAGGAUUAGAUACCCGGGUAGUC